rnacentral:misc_RNA from 1 species
CCGCCAGAUAUCCCGCCCCGCAGUUCUGCCCACCGCUCCAGCUCCAGCUCCAGCCCCAUCCUCCGGCGGCAUCGCCGCUGCAGCCACCCCCGUCCUCACAAUCGCCUCAACAUCUGGUUUGGAAGCUGGGGAGGGGAACUCCCAUAGUUUCCCCCUCACGGUAAGCCCUACAAAGGGGGAUUUUUGCUUGCAGGAGCAGAUCAAGGAUGCUUUGCCCCAUGUUUUUCAGUCCCGCAGAGACAAAGUUCCGUCAGAUUUGGAUCUGCAGAAGCAUGCCGCAACUGCUGAUGGCACGUCUCUGCUUGCUGCGUCAGCUUCAGCGCCAAAAUC